CCUACGGGAGGCAGCAGUAGGGAAUAUUGCUCAAUGGGGGAAACCCUGAAGCAGCAACGCCGCGUGGAGGAUGAAGGUUUUCGGAGUGUAAACGCCUAUUGGUAGAGAAGAGAAUGACGGUAUCUAACGAAUAAGCACCGGCUAACGCCGUCCCAGCAGCCGCGGUAAUACGGAGGGGGCAAGCGUUACUCGGAAUCACUGGGCGUAAAGAGCGCGUAGGCGGGAUGGCAAGUCAGAUGUGAAAUCCUAUGGCUUAACCCUAGAACUGCAUUUGAAACUGUUAUUCUAGAGUAUGGGAGAGGUAGGUGGAAUUCUUGGUGUAGCGGUGAAAUCCGUAGAGAUCACGAGGAAUACUCAUUGCGAAGGCGGCCUGCUAGAACGUAACUGACGCUGAUGCGCGAAAGCGUGGGGAGCAAACAGGAUUAGAUACCCCUGUAGUC
rnacentral:rRNA from 1 species